rnacentral:misc_RNA from 1 species
GUGAAUCAUCGAAUUUUUGAACACAAAUUGCACUCUCCGGUUUUCCGGGAGAGUAUGCCUGUUUGAGGGUCAGCCUAAAAAAAAUCGACAUGGUUGCUGUUUCGCGGUGACAUUCGUCGGAAAUUGGGUCAUCUUAACCCUUGGGGUUUUAAGCGGCUUAAAAUUUUCUUUACGAUUCUACGAACGUUUCUAAGAUUUUACUUCUUACACGUUUAAAUUAUCGAUCUUUAUUUGGCGUUGUCGUUGCAUCGGCUGGCGUGCA